UGUCGUCAGCUCGUGUUGUGAAAUGUUGGGUUAAGUCCCGCAACGAGCGCAACCCUUAUCCUUUGUUGCCAGCGGUCCGGCCGGGAACUCAAAGGAGACUGCCAGUGAUAAACUGGAGGAAGGUGGGGAUGACGUCAAGUCAUCAUGGCCCUUACGACCAGGGCUACACACGUGCUACAAUGGCGCAUACAAAGAGAAGCGACCUCGCGAGAGCAAGCGGACCUCAUAAAGUGCGUCGUAGUCCGGAUUG
rnacentral:rRNA from 1 species